rnacentral:rRNA from 1 species
AAUCAACGCUGGCGGCGUGCCUAACACAUGCAAGUCGAACGAGAAAGUGGAGCAAUCCAUGAGUACAGUGGCGCACGGGUGAGUAACACGUGACUACCUACCCUCGAGUGGGGAAUAACCUCGGGAAACCGGGGCUAACACCGCAUAAUAUCUACGGAUCAAAUGCGAAAGCAGCUUGAGGAGGGGGUCGCGGCCGAUUAGCUAGUUGGUGAGGUAAUGGCCCACCAAGGCAAUGAUCGGUAGCCGGCCUGAGAGGGCGCACGGCCACACUGGAACUGAAACACGGUCCAGACUCCUACGGGAGGCAGCAGUGAGGAAUAUUCCACAAUGGGCGAAAGCCUGAUGGAGCGACGCC